rnacentral:rRNA from 1 species
GACGAACGCUGGCGGCGUGCUUAACACGUGCAAGUCGAACGAGACGAUUGAAAGCUUGCUUUUAAAAGUCGAGUGGCAAACGGGUGAGUAACGCGUAGACAACCUGCCUUUGAGAUGGGGACAACAGUUCGAAAGGACUGCUAAUACCGAAUGUUGUAUAUUUUCCACAUGGAAGAUAUAUUAAAGAUGGCCUCUAUUUAUAAGCUAUCGCUCAAAGAUGGGUCUGCGUCUGAUUAGCUAGUUGGUGGGGUAACGGCCUACCAAGGCGACGAUCAGUAGCCGGUCUGAGAGGAUGAACGGCCACAUUGGGACUGAGACACGGCCCAGACUCCUACGGGAGGCAGCAGUGGGGAAUCUUCCACAAUGGACGAAAGUCUGAUGGAGCAACGCCGCGUGAGUGAAGAAGGGUUUCGGCUCGUAAAGCUCUGUUGUCGGGGACGAAUGUGCAGUAUUUGAAUAAAGUACUGCAAUGACGGUACCUGACGAGGAAGCCACGGCUAACUACGUGCCAGCCGCCGCGGUAA